AUACGUAGGUGGCGAGCGUUGUCCGGAUUUACUGGGUGUAAAGGGCGUGUAGGCGGAGAUGCAAGUCAGGAGUGAAAUCUAGGGGCUCAACCCCUAAACUGCUUUUGAAACUGUAUCCCUUGAGUAUCGGAGAGGCAGGAGGAAUUUCUAGGGUAGGCGUGAAAUGCGUAGAUAUUAGGAGGAACACCAGUGGCGAAGGCGGCCUGCUGGACGACAACUGACGCUGAGGCGCGAAAGCGUGGGGAGCAAACAGGAUUAGAUACCCUGGUAGUCCACGCUGUAAACGAUGAAUACUAGGUGUGGGGGGACUGACCCCCUCCGUGCCGCAGUUAACACAAUGAGUAUUCCACCUGGGGAGUACGAUCGCAAGAUUGAAACUCAAAUGAAUUGGCGGGG
rnacentral:rRNA from 1 species